rnacentral:misc_RNA from 1 species
CUGGAACACCUCCUUUCUGGAGCUUUAUUUCAAAGGUAAGCUGCUUGAUUCUUCAAAGAAAGUUCUAACAGCACACGCGUAAGGCGUAGCAGAGCGAAACUGCGGUGCUGUUCAACGCAAACUUCGGGUUUGCAUCGUUCAUUGACACGAUUAAGGAGAUGAGAUAUAGGCUAUGCAUAUACAAUAGGGUAUGCAUAGCGGAAAAAGAAAGUAAGUAAGGGCGCACGGUGGAUGNNU